AUAGAAGGAUAUAAAGCCAAUUGGUUGAGAUGAACUACAGUACAAUAUGUAGUUUGUACGGCGUUCUAGAAAAUGAUCUGCAAUGUCAGUCGCUUAUGGAAAUGCUCCGGUGCAUAUCGGCCGAGCGCGAAAUUCCGUUUACGAUGAGAGAGGUGGCCAUGAAGAUGGAGUUAGAAGGACCAUCUAGCAGUGCGUGCGUUCUCCUCUUUGUGUCGCCAGCGAAAAGAGAGAAAUUCUAUCUCAAACCUGGCAACUUAACGGGACCUUUUAAAACACUAGGCGGUCGAUGGCGAACGAAUUAAGAUUAAGGUGCACUAUAGAAGAUGACGAAAUAUGGGUCAUUCGAUCGGUGGGGAGUCUGUCCAUGUACACACAUUCAACCGAGAUCCGAUCCGUUCGAGAUAUCAGAGUCGACAAAAACGCCGAGCUGUUCCUUGAAAAGCUCGGAUAUCGCUACCUUUUCGAAUUCUACAAACAGGGCAUUCGAUUUCUGGUACAACUCCCGGCAAAACCGGGAUCGAAUCAGUCAAUGGUAGUGCACGUCUAUAUUUCUAAGCUGAAAAAAGUUCAACAAAGAGGCAGCAUAAAGCUAGAAGAUCUAGACCCCAAUACCUACUUUGUAGAACUCCAAUGCUCUCAUGAGACAGAAGGCACUGACCCAACAAGCACUAGUGACGCGCUUGCAUCAUUUGCCGCAACCUUCUAUCCAUUGGUCAAACUAAGAGCAUAUUCACGCUAGCCUCAACGAAGUACCUCAGCCAUUUAUAAUCUUCCAACACUUUGUUUGAUAAUACCCU